GACAAUGGGAGCAACACUUGGUUUUCAAAUGCACAUAUCUCUAUGGAAGACUCAUACUCAUGUUUUUCGCCAAGAUCAAUGUUUGUUUGGCCGAGUACGUAUUAUGAAACUCAAACAUGGGUUACUUAGAGAAUUUGGUGACUAAAGCUACUAGCCAAAAAUAAAAAUAAAAAAAUAAAAGUCCCAGUCUGAGAUUUGUAGUAUCUAAUCAAAGCUUCUCUAGUCCUCACAAAGAUUCAAAAUGUUUCCCCUUUUGUUUACCCUUUUU
rnacentral:lncRNA from 1 species